AACGAACGCUGGCGGCAGGCCUAACACAUGCAAGUCGAGCGCACCGCAAGGUGAGCGGCGGACGGGUUAGUAACGCGUGGGAACGUGCCCUUUUCUUCGGAAUAGCUUCGGGAAACUGAAGGUAAUACCGGAUACGCCCUUUGGGGGAAAGAUUUAUCGGGGAAGGAUCGGCCCGCGUCUGAUUAGGUAGUUGGUGGGGUAAUGGCCUACCAAGCCUACGAUCAGUAGCUGGUUUGAGAGGAUGAUCAGCAACACUGGGACUGAGACACGGCCCAGACUCCUACGGGAGGCAGCAGUGGGGAAUCUUAGACAAUGGGGGCAACCCUGAUCUAGCCAUGCCGCGUGGAUGAUGAAGGCCUUAGGGGCGUAAAGUCCUUUCGCUGGGGAAGAUAAUGACGGUACCCAGUAAAGAAACCCCGGCUAACUCCGUGCCAGCAGCCGCGGUAACAC
rnacentral:rRNA from 1 species